AUUGAACGCUGGCGGCAUGCCUUACACAUGCAAGUCGAACGGCAGCACGGACUUCGGUCUGGUGGCGAGUGGCGAACGGGUGAGUAAUGUAUCGGAACGUACCUUUCAGUGGGGGAUAACGUAGCGAAAGUUACGCUAAUACCGCAUAUUCUGUGAGCAGGAAAGCAGGGGAUCGCAAGACCUUGCGCUGAUUGAGCGGCCGAUAUCAGAUUAGCUAGUUGGUGGGGUAAAGGCCUACCAAGGCUACGAUCUGUAGCGGGUCUGAGAGGAUGAUCCGCCACACUGGAACUGAGACACGGUCCAGACUCCUACGGGAGGCAGCAGUGGGGAAUUUUGGACAAUGGGGGCAACCCUGAUCCAGCCAUGCCGCGUGAGUGAAGAAGGCCUGGUUGU
rnacentral:rRNA from 1 species